rnacentral:rRNA from 1 species
UACGGAGGGAGCUAGCGUUGUUCGGAAUUACUGGGUGUAAAGCGCGCGUAGGCGGCUUUGUAAGUUAGAGGUGAAAGCCCGGGGCUCAACCCCGGAACAGCCUUUAAGACUGCAUCGCUAGAAUCCGGGAGAGGUGAGUGGAAUUCCGAGUGUAGAGGUGAAAUUCGUAGAUAUUCGGAAGAACACCAGUGGCGAAGGCGGCUCACUGGACCGGCAUUGACGCUGAGGUGCGAAAGCGUGGGGAGCAAACAGG